UAUGGCCAUAUCGCAGUGAAAUACCGGUUCCCAUAUGAUCACAGAAAAUAAACAAUAUUGAGCCUAGUCGAUACCUAGAUUGAUGACCACUUCGGAAUACCAGGUGCUGUAU